GACGAACCGUGCGAACGUUGUUCGGAAUCACUGGGCUUAAAGGGCGCGUAGGCGGGCAACCAAGUCCGGGGUGAAAUCUUUCGGCUUAACCGGAAAAGUGCCUUGGAUACUGGUUGUCUUGAGGGAGGUAGGGGCAGGUGGAACUUCCGGUGGAGCGGUGAAAUGCGUUGAUAUCGGAAGGAACGCCGGUGGCGAAAGCGGCCUGCUGGAUCUCUACUGACGCUGAUGCGCGAAAGCUAGGGGAGCAAACGGG
rnacentral:rRNA from 1 species